UACAGGGGGGGGCAAGCGUUGUUCGGAAUUACUGGGCGUAAAGGGCUCGUAGGCGGCCAACUAAGUCAGACGUGAAAUCCCUCGGCUUAACCGGGGAACUGCGUCUGAUACUGGAUGGCUAGAGGUUGGGAGAGGGAUGCGGAAUUCCAGGUGUAGCGGUGAAAUGCGUAGAUAUCUGGAGGAACACCGGUGGCGAAGGCGGCAUCCUGGACCAACACUGACGCUGAGUGAGCGAAAGCCAGGGGAGCAAACGGG
rnacentral:rRNA from 1 species